rnacentral:lncRNA from 1 species
ACUAAUAUGUGACUCAAUUAUGAGAUGCAAUCACAUGUACUAUCAGAUUAGUAAACAUAGUAUACAACGUAAAUCAGUUGGAUUGCUUUGGAAGAUUAUUGGAUCACCACAUCAAACCCAUGCACAAAUAGCACCAACAUACAUCAGAAAAUACAAGAAUGCAGCCUUGCGUUUACAAAGUUCCGCACUAGUCGUGCAAGAUAUGAUUCGUUCUUAGUAAAACAAGUUCCGCUACUUCUUCCGUUCCAGAAUAUAAAUAUUUAACAGAUUCCAAUAGAUACCACAUACGGAUGUAUAUAGACAUU